GGUCUCGUAGCUCAAUGGCAGAGUGUGACUUUCCGGUGGUUGAGGUUCCAGGUUCGAGUCCUGGCGGGAUCG
rfam:Pochonia chlamydosporia 170 PCv3seq00010, whole genome shotgun sequence.